rnacentral:rRNA from 1 species
UACAGAGGUGGCGAGCGUUGUUCGGAUUUACUGGGCGUAAAGGGUGCGUAGGUGGUUUUGCGUGUCGGACGUGAAAGCCCACUGCUUAACGGUGGAACUGCGUUCGAAACUGCAGGGCUUGAGUGCAGGAGAGGAGAGCGGAAUACUUGGUGUAGCGGUGGAAUGCGUUGAUAUCAAGUAGAACACCGGUGGCGUAGGCGGCUCUCUGGAAUGCAACUGACACUGAGGCACGAAAGCGUGGGGAG